AAGAAGACCUACAGGACAUAGAUCCCAUCUCCACUCUUCUUCUACCGGAAUAUCAUGAAAACGGAUUCGACAUGCUGGCAGACGGCGCAGCCAAACAACAGCUGCAGCACCGCCAUUACCUCUCUUCUAUUGACUCUACGAUACUCAUCAGGCAGCUCCCAUCGCAAGGCCUCUCCUUCCAACUCUGGCCGGCAGCAACCACGCUCCUCACUCUCCUUGAUCGCCACCGCUCCCAUUCCGCUACCAGCCAACUCUCAUCGAUCCUCGCUGCCUUAUCAUCCAACAACUCGC
rnacentral:misc_RNA from 1 species